CGUAGGACCCAGGCCUGUGUGUUCCUAGAGUUGGACACAGAAAGGGAGGGAGGAACUGCCAGUUUGUCAUGGCUGGGUUGCCAGACUGAGCUGAUUAAAAAUACAGGACACCCAGGGAAUUUGAAUUCCAGGUAAACAACCGGCUUAGUAUGAACGCGUCCCGUGUAAUCGUUGGGAUACACUUUGUAUCAGAGUUCUCCGUAAAAUUAAUCAUCACAUACUUAAGUUAAAAACACGUGUUCAUUGUUUACCUGAAAUUCAAAUUUCACGGGACAUCCUGUUUUUUAUCUGGCAACCCGAGGUCCUCACGACUUUUGGAACCCAGAGCGGGUCACCCUCGGCGGAGGCCAACGCAGUGAGUCAAUACAGGAUGACUCAUGUCUGCACGUCACCCUGCAGUUCGGGACACAUGUGUUUGAUUCCCAUCAUCUCUAUGAGGUGGGGUGAGCGGGCCUGAACUGUCACCAUUUUCUAGGUGGAGAAGGAAAGACACAGAGAGGUGCAGAACGUUGUUCGGUGUCACACAGCCUGUAAAGAAGAGAACCGAGGCUGGGAUUCAGCUCAGGCUCACCAUCACUCCGCGCCUCCUCCAGGAAGCAGUCUUGACCCUCUGGUCCCUGGGCUCGGGUGCAGAUGGGCGUGUCUUGGGCUCGUGGGCUGCAGUUCAAGGGGGGAUCGAGGGCCGGGAUGGAGAAGAGGAGGGUUUUUGUUUCUCAUCACCUCCCACGGAUCUUCUCAGCUCCAGUUUUCGUGAGAACCACAGGAAUGGACGUGCUGAUUCAGCUGGGGCGUGGCAGUGGAGAGCCCCGCUCCUCCAGGGAAGGAGAGACAACUUCCUUGCCAUGAGGGACUGACAACCACCCCGCCUUCUUCAUGGAAUCCCUCAUGGGAUGCUUUACAGUGGCAAGAAAAAGAAUUCAGAUGUGGCCACCCAGGUUACCCUUCUAAACAUGAACCCUGAAGAAUGUUCUUCAGACAAAGUUAUUUAAAACCACAGCUCCAGUCGAUGUGAAAAGAUCAGCUUCUUGGAGCAUUUCCUACCAUGUUUGAGGACAAUGUGGGGACCUUGUCCCCUUUCCUUCCCUAAGGCAGGGGUCCUUCUCAGGGCCCCAGAAGGCUUGUUGGAGUGCUGGGCCCCACCCGGGAGAUGUCGACUCGGGAAGUGGGGGUGGCGGUGGGGCACUGGGGAUGCUGGUGCUGCUGGUCUUGGGACCACACUAGGGGCACCGCUGCCCUAAGCUGGAGGCUGUGCCCCUUUCUGGGAGGUUGUGUUGAUAAGUCAUAGCUCUUGGGCCACUUGGGCCACAUGGGUGUCAACCCCUGAGGUUUGGACUGCGUAUGCCUCGCUCUAGGCCCGGCUCUGGGGAGGCUGUGCCUGUGUGGGGUGCAGAGAUGAAUCAGAAACACUGCCCUCCUCAAGGGACCAUCCCCUGUGAGGGGAGAGCAGGCAGAGGUGAGUGUGAGCUGCCCGUCCAGGAGAUGGAAGGAAAGAGGUCUCACCAGGCGGGGCUUGCAUGCAGGCAGCCGCGAGAAAGCUUUGGCUGCCAGUGUGUAUGUGUGUGAGCACCCACCCGGGUCCCGCCUGGGCACACAGCAGAGGGUGGUGGAAAGUGCCCGAGAUUGAGAGUCAGACCAGGGCCCCCCUUUCCUAGUCCUGUGUGACCUCGACAAGUUACCUCCCCUCUCUGAGCCUCGGAUCCUUCAUCCGCAACAAUAGCUACCUCACCGGGUGGUUGUGAAGGGCGGGGGUGAAAACAUAUCAGGAGGCCCGAGGACACUUACGCAGCAUAAGGACUCAAUACAUGGAAGCUACCGCCACUGAGAUCUUGGGCUUUUGAAAGCGCAGAGAAGGAAUCCCCUAUCUACCACUGCGUAACACCCGCCAACAGGAUUGCCGAGUGCGUUAAAUGAACACGUGUGUGUAAAGCACAUAGUAGGUGCUCACUAAAUGCCAGCUGGCAUCAUUUCUAAUCUCCAGAGGGGGGCAGUAUAACAUAAUGGGAAGGGCAGACACUGAUGCCAGGCCCCCUUGGACAUGGCUCCUGGUUAUGGCAGCUGUGAGUGGCCCUCCGCAAAUUAUAAACCCUGUUUGUGCCUCAGUUUCCUCAUCUGUAAAAUGAAACUAACAGUAGUACUUGCCUCAUGGGGUCGUUGUGAGGACCCAGUGAAUUCACAUCUGUGAGGUGGCUGGCAGCUAGGCACGAUCUGUAAAUGUCGCUAUCACCCCCACCACGCAUCCUGCCUAACCUAGGGCCGGGACAUGGUGGUCACUAGGACAACACUGCCUUUCCCCAACGUAAAAGGGAGAGAGAAGCAAGGCAGUGACUGACCAGUGUGCCCAGGGGGCUUCCCUGUCCUGGGAUCCACCCCCAGGUGUGCUCUCUCUGCCUGGUUUCUCUGCCUUAGUAGACCACUCCGCUCCCUCACUCUUAGACUGGAUCUUGGCUGACCUUGCACAGCAUUGGCGCUUGUAGGGUGUUCCCCUUAAACAGCGCGUCUGCAGCUCCUGGGCAGGCCCCCAAAGCAAUUUGGGGAAACCUUCCACGCUCAAUGACAAUUUGGACUCCCGCCCUUGCCCUUGAGAUUUAAAUUAAGAUGAGGUAAAUUUACAUUAGGUAAAAUCAAGUAAAGUUUUAACCUCCUUUCUCCCCCUCGGGAGGGGCUGGUGGGGCAGAGCAGGGCGUCCUGGCUGAUGAUGGUGUGCACGGAGUGGUCCAGAUGCUGCCCACGUUGCCUUGUGGGUGGGAACAUCACUUCCCUCUGGGGCUGAGUCCUCCACCCCACGUGCUAAAAGGUGCACAGACCCAGGACACAAUUUGGUAUGAGAGGGAAGGUAAUAAUGACGUGUGAAUGUCCAGUGGUCACUGUGAGGAUGGGUCAGUCCUCCAUGGUGCCAGCUGCUCUACAGCUGAGCAAUAAACAUGAAUCAGCUGAGCCCUGAUUCAUUGGGGUUUCUCUUUCGUGACCUCUGGAAGGAAAAGAUCCAAGUUGCAGUUUAAGCAGGAGAGAAACAAAUCGGCAAAGAGGGCAGUUGCGGAAACAGUCGUCAUAUUUAUUGUGCGCCUGGUACUUUUCAUAUGUUUGCUCAGUUAAUGCACGAAGGAGCCUUUGAGAUGGGUUCCCAUUGGUUGGUAGUCCCAUUUUACAGAGGAGGAAGUUGAGGCCCAGGGGCUUGCUAAGAAAGGUGGAGCCAGACUGAAUCUAGAUUUGCCCCACCCCAAAGCUCCUGCUGAGCACCUCCAGCAGGGCUGCUCGGAGUAGCAGGGAACUUCUGAGGCUCUAAGGGAGGAGCCUGUCUGGGCUGCAGGGCUUCUCUGAGGAAAGUUUUGACUCUGGUAAGUGGACUGGACUCCUCAUAGAGACUCAUUUGGAUGUGGAAAGGACAUGGGCUUUGGACUCAGGUCCCAGGUUUGCAUCUCAGCACCUUAUUCGCUGUGCAUCCUGGGACAAGUUACUGAGCCUCUCUAAGCUUUGCGAAGGGGAUCCUGAAACCUACCAUACUGGGCGACCUUGGCAGUAAAACCCGGACAAUCUUUGUAAGUGCUUUGCACGUGGGAGGGAUGAAAAUGGUGGGCGCCCAGGGAGAGAAGUCGUUCACAGCUGGCGGGUUUAGCCCAGCGGGUUUGAAUUCUGACCCCUUGACCUCCGCGGCCUUUAGGCUUGAUCUGCCUCAGAGAAGGGCCGACAGGGCCAGGUGAGGGACCAGCUAGUGGUCCUGCAUGUGGCCAGGCUGCCCCAGGAGAUGGCAGACCAAGGGGAGGCUCCAGCAUGACCUGGCUGUCGCAGGCGGGGCUCAGGGGCACGAGGCCUGAAACGAGCCUCCACAGUCAGCAGGGAGUGCGGAAAGCACUGGGCCACUCAAGCAAAUCUCGGUUUCCUCUCCCCCUUGCCUUCCGUUAGCUUCAGGUGAAGGCUUGCAAUCCCUCCGUUAGCUCAGCCUUGUAGCCUUGCGUAAGCUCAAGCCCAUCCUGGAAGGGGCUCCUGAGGGACAGAAGGGGCCAACUGAGGCAGGCACCAGCAUCCAGGCUGUGGAGCCCCCGGGCUCUUGCAGGCAUCUCUGUGGGAUUUGGAAGCUCUUCUAGGCCCUAGGCGCCUGCACUGUGCUCAUCCUCUCUGGGCCAGAGCCUUAAGGGACGACCACGCAGAGAACAGAGGACACAGGGAAGGUGUCCUCACUUUCACGUGCCGUGGUCCAGAAAGGUCCCUUGUCCUUUCCUACUAGGAAAGGGAGGUCUGUCUGUCAAGUCCUGGGGAGAAAGCCACAAUUGGUUGACCCUCUUGCUGUCAGAUUCCCAAACAUUCUGACUGCCGUCAAGCUCUCCAAGGCUGACGGAUGCAGGCUUGGAAAGGAAUGCACUGGGCACCAAGCGGUCUUCUGUCUCCCACCUGAGAACCGAGGUCAGCCGACAACUGCUUUGCCUCCACCUUGAAUAGGAGACGUGCAGCCCCCUCCAGGGAACGCGCCCUAAUGAUACUGAUGACUUACGUUGUGGGUGACACAUCUCAGCGGUGCUCCACGUUCUCCACGUACCUUGACGGAUCCCCUGUCCUCUCCCCCUCCAUCUGUCCUCACUAGCUUGUGCAACCCCUGGGAACCAAGUAGAAAUGAAGAGGUAUUUGGGGUCCUCUCAACCCACUGAAUGAAACAUACAAUCGAGUUGUAGGGUUACAGAUUGGCUGGCUUCGGUGAAAUGUGGUUUAAACCCUCAAAUGGAAAUGAAACUGAGACCCUGUGUAGCCUGUUGGGAAAUGUCAGCUCUGAUGUCUCCGUGAGGGCCACCUUUCUCUUGAAGCCCUUUGCAUCUCUCCAGCAACCCUGCUCAGACGGAGUGAAAUCCCAAGAGCCAGUGAGGAAGAUGGCCCAGCCCUGUCUCCACUGGCUGGCAGGUUUCAGUUACUGAGAUUUCUGGCAUAGGCUAGAGGAAAAGGGCUAUUUCCAGACUCGGGGUUUCCCCUUUCUGUAAGGGUCUCUAAGGCUUCUUUAGGGUCAGGAAAAAGAAGCAGAAGAUGCCAAGACACUUGCCUGCACACUGGUGAAAAGACACCGAGGUGGGUGCAUUCACCUUCUGAGGACUGGUAGCCUUCUGUAGCCUUCCCUGCCUCCUCCCCACACCCCUUCUCCCCAGGUUUCCAGGGGAUCCAAGCCCCUGUUUCCAGGACCCAACAUCCCACCAGCCCUCUUCCUCCCAGUAGACACAGUUGCUCCCAUCCCAACUGGCUUCUGGUCACCAAACAGCAGGCACAAUUGUUCUCCUCCCAAAGACCCAGGGGCAGAAACACGCUGGACUCGGGUCACCCGGAGGUGUCUAUUUAUAAACCAUCCUGAUAAGCACAAUCUGCCCUGCUCAGCCCAGGCCACACUCCACAGCAAGGCUAACCUCCCAAUGGUAAACUGAACAUUUUCUUUACCAGCCAGACUGGAAAAACCAGCCCUGAGGAGGGGCUGGGGCUCCAGAGCUGGCCACUGGUCCUGAAGGGUCGGUCCAGCUUACAGGCUGUUUUAACAGCUGGAAAUUUCCCUCCUUUUUUUUUGGUGUGGGUACCAGAUCAGCCCAUCUCAGGAGUGUUCUCAUACAGCAGGGGUCAGCAAACUUUUUCUGUAAAGGGCCGCAUAAUAAAUGUUUUCCUCAUUGCUGGCCAUAUGGCCUCAGCCUUGGUAGCUAUGGGCAAAAUGGAAAUGAACAAGUGUGGCUGUGUGCCAAUAAAACUUUAUUUACAAACCAGGUGUCUGGCCCACAGCCGUGGUUUACCAACCACUGUUGUAGAGGAAGCUGGAAUGCUGGCAAAUUAAACGUGUGUUUAAUCUACUUUCCAGGAUUCUUAUACUUAUAGUCUUUAAAACUAUUACUUCAAAUAGAGUUCAUUAUAAUUGGGUUAGAUGCAUUGAGAGAAAUGGCCUAUAAUUUAGUUUCAAAAAAUAACUUGUAUUUACUAGAGGAGUUUUAGGUUAACAGCAAAACCGAGCAAUUUAGUGAAAGGUAUAGAGAUUUCUCAUAUAUUCCGUGCCUGCCUCCAACCCCCCCCCCCCCAUAUACAUGGCCUCAUCCAUGAUCAACAUCCAUGGGAGGGGUUUAUAAUCCUAAAUAAUAAUUAAAAAAUUUUUUUUAACGUUUAUUUAUUCUUGAGAGAGAGACAGACAGAGACAGAGUGUGAGUGGGGGAGGGUCAGAGAGAGAGAGGAAGACACAGAAUCUGAAGCAGGCUCCAGAUUUGGAGCUGAGCUGUCAGCGCAGAGCCUGACGUGGGGCUCGAACUCACAAACCGUGAGAUCAUGACCUGAGCUGAAGUCGGAUGCUUAACCGACUGAGCCACCAGGCGCCCCUAAUUAAUAAUUUUUGAAGGCUGUCUAGUUUUCCACACAGAUUCAGUAUUUACUCUCCUCAGCGAUCAAUUCUUCUUUCGGAGAAAAGAGAGAUACGGCUUUAAAUAUGGCCAAGCGUGAGUCUGGUCGAGGACCCCCAGGGUGUGGGAGAACACUGUGGGGAUUUCCACGUUCGGGAGACACAUACUCUCAGAGUCCACGGGCCAGAAACGUCCCAGUGCACACUCGUCCUGGCAACGCAUGACCUGGGUUCAUCCACAGGCUUGUGCCUGCUCAGCCCUGCGAGAGCAAAGUGCCCAGACACACGCACGUAAGGACGAAGUCACACACAUCCAUCUGCACCCUGAACGGUGUACCCCUCAGGGUCCACACGGAAAUCCAGCACCCCGCUGAGAACCUCAGCCCCCAGCGUGCCCUUCCCACUCACACCGCCCUGCCCGGCGCCCGGACACAGAGCUCCAGCCCCGACGGUGCCGGUGGCCCAGAGCAAAUGUCCCUGCUGCGGGGAGCGUGAGCCUCCCUGCCCACGCCGAGAAACCAGACAAGUGUCUGCGCCCUACCUUCCGCUCUCCGCGUAUCCCAGCUGCUUGCUCUCCGGCCUCCCCAGGAAGGGGGGACAACCCUGACUCUUCCAGCAGCCCGGCUCUGCCCGGCAGCCGGAACUUCUUCCCUCGUUCGCUGGCUGCCCAAAGACGAGAGGGCCACGGAUGCAAGACCCAGACCUCUUAUCUUUUUCACAAACCUGCCCACCUGAGGAAAAUCAGUGGCCAGAAGUUGUCCAGCCACUGGAAGUUCAUGAAGUGUGCCUACAUAGAGACCCAGCCGGGGGAAACCAAAUGGUGUUCUUGGUGGGGAAGGAGGCAAACAGUCCGCACAGCAACACCCGCGUGGUGUCAGGUAACAGUCAGAUUAAACAAACAGCCUCACCAGCUAUUUUUACAUCCAGAUCGGCCACUGGUAAUAGAUAACUUGGGGAGUGAGAAAUUGCUUGCCGCUGAGCUGGACCCUAACCAUGAUUCCAACUUCAAUCCAGAAUGAUUUCUAAAGCUAUUUCAGCACCCAGGUUCAAAUACAAAGAUCCCAGGAUGCGAAGGAAAACAUUUGUCUAGGGAAACGUUAAAAACACGAUAGUGUGAGCCUUGGAGCCAGCGCCCGGAGGCCUGCUGAUGUCCCGGGGGCAGAAAUAGCCCGUUUCAUCAUCGCCUUGGAGGACCGCAGCCUGCAUUCCUCGAGUAAGGAGCCGCGCUCUGCUGUGCUUUUGGAGCAAAAUAACACGCCCAGCUGCAGGCUGGGGGACGGCCAGGCUGGGAUUUCAGGGUGAGAGUUUCAGAAGGAUGAGAAAUAAUCAGGGAAGAGGCAAGGUAAGUGCCCACUUGGUGAGCCUGGCCGGGGCAGGCCUCGUGGCGUGUAGGGUCCAAGUGCUGGUGGAUGGGUCUCGUUCUGCAGCUGAGAGAUCCCCUUCUCCGUCUCUGGGAGGGGCUGGCCCAAUGGCCACUUUCAGGCUUGGCCUGGGGUUCCCUGCUCUCCAAACUGCCUGCAGACCCCCAGACAUCUUCCAACCCCUUUGCAUUUGUUCAUGCUGUUCCAACACCUGGGAGCCCUCCCCUUCCCUUACCCUCCCCAAGUUGGCCCUGUGACAGUCUGCUCACUGUUAGGAUUUAAAGCAAGAGCUCUUGUCUUUCUUUUCAAGAGCGUUUUUUCGUGCUCCCCUGCCUGUGGACUGGGAAACCCCAGGGGCUGGUCCCCACCAGGUGCCCCGCUAUUUGAAGUGCUCAAAGCCCCCGAAAGUCUGCACCACACUGUAUCUCUGUAUCUAUUGGUGGACUGCUUCCCGUCCACCCCGCCCCUGUGGGCUCCUCACAGCCAGCAACCUCUGUCCCAGCCCUAACUCAGGGCCUGGCACCACCUCCAGCCUUGAAUCUGCUGGUGGCCAGGGUCACAGGGACCUGGGUCUGUGAACGUCAGUUGGAACCAAGUCCGAAAGACUUGGUUGCCCUGCAGGUGGAGGGGUCUGACCACUAACAGCAGGGUUAUCCAGUCCCCUUUCCUCCCCAGAGCCUUAAAACUUACUUGCCUUUUGCCCUGGGGACUUAGGACCCGACUGCAGGGACUGAUCAGUAUUCAGAGAUGGCUUAAGGGAGACUCAAAGCGAGCCCCUUGAUUUUACCCGCCCCACCCGCCUCCCCUGCUUGCCAAAACCAACACUAGCCAACCUGGCCAAUGAAAAGAAUCAACUUGAAAUGUGAGCCAGCAUUAAAACCAAAGCAAAGCAAACGAAACAACACAGCACAGCACAACACAAGAGACUCAGAGCCCUGGCCCCUUGUAUUUCCCAGCUAUUUGACACCAACCAAAUCCCUUAACCUCUCUGUGCCUCAGUUUAUUCAUCUUUAAGAUGGACAGACUGCCUAUGUUCUGUUGGGUUGAAGAUCAAAUCAAUUUGUGUACAUGUAUACGCUUGUAUACGGCAAAGCUUCUCAAAUGUUAAUCAUUUUUUGGGACGAUUUUGUCAUGCCUUCAACCGCCCGUACCAUCACUUACUUGUUAUAUUUUUGUAAAGAGAAUUCAAAUCGACUUUAAAAAAAAAAACAAACAAACCAGAGCUUUGUGGUGAAUAACAAUACCUGUAAAAUCAAGGGUUUGACGUUCUAGUUCCUUUUUUUCCCCUAUUACACAUUCAAGCACGAUUCACAGCCAGUUCGCACGCUAUGUGUGUAUGACCCAGAUCAUUUUGUUCCAGAUUUUAGGGAAGCCUGCAUCACGAAAUCUCGUUUUAUGGGGGAGUUUGCUUUGGGGUGUGAGUAACAGGAGGCAAAGCAGGGCCCUGGUCUUCCUAACCCGCUUUCCUCCCGCUUCUCAGCAUGUUUCUUCCCCAGCUUACUUUUAAUUCUUCCCAGGUGGACAGCAUGACCGCAUGUCUGGUUUGGAGUCUUAGAAGCGGUGAGGUUUGCAGUGUGGCAGGACCUGGCGGUGUUUGCUUCAAGUGGCUGCCUGAGAAAAGAAAGACAUGAGGGUGACCCAGGGAACUUUCAGGGGGCAGGACAGUGGCUGGCAGCUUUGUUAGCGUCAGCAGGAGGGGUCAGGAGAGAACAAUAAAACACAGUUGACCUGGCAAGAGCCCGGGCUGGGAGCAGAAACCCUCAGAGCUUGGCUGGGGGCCCCAUCCGGCUAGCCUGACCACAGCUGACCGCUGUAGAAUCCCAUUUCUCCCAGAAUGGGCCCUACCUGCCCUGGGCCAUGGAUUCCACAUCUGGUUCCGGUCAUGGUGGGCACACCGGCGUGGACCACCCCAGCCCAGAGCACAGCCAGAGAACUCGGCCCAAACUCUGGACCAGGAGCUCGAGGUGAGCUGGCAUCUUCCCAGGGGACGGGCCCAAGCAAAAGUAACCACUCUCUUCCAGUCCAGGAGCCGUGAGCUGCGUGGAAAGAAUGUGAAUGAAGACACAAUUCUAAAUGUAGAACCUCGGACGCUAUGUGAGCUGGCUCCCUAAUCAGCCAGAAAAACAAGGCCUGCAUGUACAUUCUGCAAGAGCAUAAAUAAAGCUGUCCUCAGGCGGCGUGCUACGGCAUCCCAUCCUUGCGGUGACGUCGUUGGCCCCCACUCUCAGCAGAACCUCUGCGACAUUGUGGGAGGUGCCCAGCUGCCUGACUGCAUGGAUGAAAAUGGCCUUGCUCUUGCCUGGACACACGCGAUGCUUACUGACCUAACCCUGCAGCAAAAUGACUCUGGUCUGCCUCUGUGUUAUUCAGAAAUGUUCAAAAGCUGCUAAUGAGGACAGUGCAGAAUUUCUGGUUCUGGGUGUUUGAAGUCAUAUCCCUGCAAAUGGCAUGAGGCAACUCCCUCAUUUCUUCCACCAUUGUGGUUAUACUGGACCACUUGUCAGGAGGUUUUCUUCACUAGUGCUCAGCCUUCUUCUUCUUCUUCUUUUUUUUUUUUUUUUGAUUUUUUUAACGUUUAUUUAUUUUUGAGAAGAGAGAGACAGAGGGUGAGCAGGGGAAGGGCAGAGAGAGAGAGGGAGACACAGAAUCCCAAGCAGGCUCCAGGCACUGAGCUGUCAGCACAGAACCCGACACGGGGCUUGAACUCACGAACCGCGAGAUCAUGACCUGAGCCGAAGUCGGAUGCUGAACCGACGGACCCACCCAGGUGCCUCUUCUCAGCCUUCUUUAGGAGUUGUUCGAAUAAACUUCUUCAGAAGGGUGGAGCAUUUCCUGGGCUUAAUGAUAACAACAAGAUAAUAAUGUUAGAUAACACUUAUAAAACCUUUACUUGGUGCCCUGCACUGUUUUGAGUCUUCACCCAAAUGAACCUAUACACUGUAUACUCUUUAUCUCCGGGCCUGGCACCAUUUUGUUCGAUCCCCAUGGACUGCUACCUGCCAGGGAGCUAAGCAAAGACACGAUGAGGAAACCAGUAUUUCCUGAGCACGCAUAAUGUGCCAGGCACUGCCUGUGCGUUCUUUCACUAAAUCCUCACGCUCUCCUAGUGUGAUAUCUGUUCAUACUCGCUCUUUACAGAUGGGCAAACUGAGGCUUGCAGAGAUCCUGGAUGUCGUUCAGCUAACAUUGGCACUGAGGUUGCAGAUGAAGGUUUGUCUGUCUGCCUGUCCAGUCUGUAUAUCUCUGUUGCACCCGCCCCCCCCCCCCAACCCCCAACACAAGCACUCUCCCAGCCCAAGUCCGGGGAACAUGGCUUCCUUCCAUCCACCUGUUUUCCUUGCUUCUCUCUGGUGAGAGAGCAAAGUCUGGCCAGGGCACCUCCUUAGCUACUGAUUUGUUAUGGGAACCAAGGGGAUUCUGUGCCUCAGUGUUGGCACAGUGAAAGUAUAUCCUCAGGGCUGAUGGCAGGAUGGGUCGUCACUGUAAGGAACAUACUUCUGGAGCUCAGGCCCCACUGAGCUGCUCACCUGCUGAGGGGCCUGAGCACUCAGACCCCUCCUUUCGAAUGGAUUUUCUUACCGGGAACUCUGGCUUGGCUCCUUUGUGAAGGGUUGUUACUUGAUAAUGCAUGUCUGGUGCCUAGCUCAGAGGGGUUGGAUUUAUCGAGGCGUGUGUUUGGGGAGACCCUGUUUAUGGCCCACAGCUGGAAAACAGUCCACUGGCUAAGUUUUCUGGUACACCCUACCCUUCUCUUCCCACUCCACCCCAUCCGCUGCUCUCCUGGCCUAACCAGCCCGGUGCCAGGAUGGUGGUAUCACAGUCACCUGUGAGAGUCCUAAGGAGAGUCGGAGGGGCUCUCCUCAAGGCCUUCCCCUCGGAAUUCUUUGCUUUGGAGUUUCCAGCGAAAGAUUUCAAUGUAAGAAAUAGAACCUGUGCUGUGAAAUGAAGUAAAUCCAGUUUAUGAAAAUGCUACCAAACACCAACAAAAUCAUGGUGGCCUAGCUGAGAGGUCGGCCGCCAGUGCCUCUGGAGUCUAUGUAAGUCACCUCUCCACACGGAAGGAUCUGGCAGUCUAGAGUCAGGAGGAGUUGGGGGAGGUGUGCUCUACUGUCUAACAUAUGGGUCCACAAACUUUUUUUGUAAAAGGCUAAAGUAAAUGUUUUCAGCUCUGCAGAGGCCACAUGGUUUUUGUCACAACCGCUGAGCUGGGCCAUGGAAAGUGGUCAGAAAUGAUCUGUAGACAAAUGGGUGUGGCUGUGUUCCAAUAAAACUUUAUUUAUGGACACACAAAUAUGAACUGUAUAUCCUUUUCACGUAUCAUAAAAUAUUCUUGUUUUGAUUGUUUCAUUUAAAUAGGCAAAAGUCAUUUUUAGCGUAUGAGACUACACAAAACCACGGGCAGGACAGAUUGGCUCACAGGUCCCACGUGCCGACCCCUGAGCCACUCUGUCCGCUUCAGCCACCACCAAGCCCAUGUGGCUAAUGAGCACUUGAAACCUGGCUAGUCCGAACUGAGACAUGCUAUAAGUGUGUAAAUGCACCCUGGAUUUCCAAAGCAAUGCCAAAGAAAAUAAAAAAAGUGUAAAAGAUCUCCUUUCUAAUGCUCUGUGUUGAACGGUGUAUUGAAUCUUGGGCUGAUAUGAUGAUACUUUGCAUGUUGUGGCUUUAAUAAAAUAUUAUUA